rnacentral:lncRNA from 7 species
UUUCACCUCCUAAGGCUUUGGUUUUAGUACUUGUUUUAUGUCUACGCUUUACAAUGCGUAGCUACCAUAGUGUUAAUCAUGCAGAAAACCCCGAAGUGCGUAUGCCUGUGUCCUGGGAGGAAUGUGUCUGCUGAUGGGUCUUGCUAAUGGCAGAGCAGUCCUGGCCUCAAUGCUCUGCUGUCAUCUGAGAUGCCAGAAACAAGAAGGAAUGAAGAGCAGACAUGCUCAGAGCAACUGAUAGGCGGCUAGGAAGACUUUGAGAAGACUUGUGGCUUAUGACAAACUAAAAUCCUUUACAAACAAAUUUACAAUUAGUUUGAUACACAGUCAGCAAUGCUUGAUUGGAUUUCUGAGGAGCUGGGAAAUUCUGGAUGAAUCAGAGAACUUCAUCUCUUUUUAAAUGUGCCUAAUGUUCUGUCAGCCAUGCAGACAAUGGAAAACAUUUGUCAAAACAGAUGGCAGUGCUAGCCUCUCCACCACUGAACACAAAGGAUGUUUCUGAGGCAGCCUGUUAGGAUGGUCUCAUGAGCAUCAGCCCUUUAUGGAGUGCCAUCAGGAUAUCAGGAAACAGCUGUGUCUCCAGCAUGUCAUCUCUGACCCCAACCCAAUCCUUCUCUCUACAGUGUAGGCCUUGGGAGGUGCCUUUGCAGAUGGCUUUGCAACUGCGUGCAGUAGGAAAUGUUGUUUAUGUUGUAAUGUGACAAAGGUAGCCUUUUUACACUGUAUUUCCAGGCGUGGAAUUUCUUCUAUGAGAAAAGCACUAUCAACAAAUAUUGCAGAUGAUGGGGUCUUUAUGCCGAAGAGCCAUGUUGAUCAUGAGUUUGCCUGUGCUAUCUACACUUAAUUAAACACAAACAAGAGCACCUUACAGGCUGUAAAUUCUCUCCCCAGUAAAUGCUUAACUCAGAUUUCACUUUCUGAAAAAGUAGUGUAUCUUAAAGCAUACAAAACAAAAAAUGAUGAAGAAUUAUGACUAUCUUCAUACUAAUAGCUUUUGAGAGUAAGUAAUUUUCCAGGAAAGAUUAUCUGUAGAAAUAUAUAUGUUUUUUGCUUAAAGAUUAAAACUUAAAACU